rnacentral:rRNA from 1 species
GACGAACGCUGGCGGCGCGCCUAACACAUGCAAGUCGAACGAGCGAGCGAGAGCUUGCUUUCUCGAGCGAGUGGCGUACGGGUGAGUAACGCGUGAGGAACCUGCCUCAAAGAGGGGGACAACAGUUGGAAACGACUGCUAAUACCGCAUAAGCCCACGGGUCGGCAUCGACCAGAGGGAAAAGGAGCAAUCCGCUUUGAGAUGGCCUCGCGUCCGAUUAGCUAGUUGGUGAGGUAAUGGCCCACCAAGGCGACGAUCGGUAGCCGGACUGAGAGGUUGAACGGCCACAUUGGGACUGAGACACGGCCCAGACUCCUACGGGAGGCAGCAGUGGGGAAUAUUGCACAAUGGGGGAAACCCUGAUGCAGCGACGCCGCGUGGAGGAAGAAGGUCUUCGGAUUGUAAACUCCUGUUGUUGGGGAAGAUAAUGACGGUACCCAACAAGGAAGUGACGGCUAACUACGUG